rnacentral:rRNA from 1 species
CAGCAGCCACGGUAAUACGUAGGGUGCGAGCGUUAAUCGGAAUUACUGGGCGUAAAGCGUGCGCAGGCGGUUUUGUAAGACAGGCGUGAAAUCCCCGGGCUCAACCUGGGAAUGGCGCUUGUGACUGCAAAGCUAGAGUGCGGCAGAGGGGGAUGGAAUUCCGCGUGUAGCAGUGAAAUGCGUAGAUAUGCGGAGGAACACCGAUGGCGAAGGCAAUCCCCUGGGCCUGCACUGACGCUCAUGCACGAAAGCGUGGGGAGCAAACAGGAUUAGAUACCCGAGUAGUCCCUGUCUCUUAUAC